GCUAGCAAUAAAUCUCUCCACUGUGACUUCCGUGUCGAGUGGUCUCUCGCGACGACCCCUGCCCAGGAAGGAAUCUAAAAACUAGGUUCCUACAUUUGGUGCAUUGGCCGGGAAUGGGGGUCGCCCGAGGACCCUCGACCCCUCCGGUGGAGACACAAUUGGCCCGGGCCACCGACUGCUGACGAACGGACUCUGUCAGACUGACCUGCAGGCCCGGCUAAAAGGACUACAAGCAGUACAGGCCCAAAUCUGGGCCACCUUGGCAGAACUGUACUGGCCAGGACAUUCGCAGACCAGCCACCCCUUCCAGGUGGGGGACUCCGUCUAUGUUAGACGACACCGUUCUCAAGGACUGGAGCCUCGGUGGAAAGGACCCUACAUUGUUCUCCUGACCACACCCACAGCCAUAAAGGUUGAC